rnacentral:tRNA from 1 species
GGAGGGAUGGCAGAGCGGCCGAAUGCGAAGCUCUUGAAAAGCUUUGAGAUUGCAUAGAUCUCCGUGGGUUCAAAUCCCACUCCCUCCG